rnacentral:rRNA from 1 species
GUCUACGGCUGUGCCACCCUGAACAAGCCCCACGUCUGAUCUCGGAAGCUAAGCUGGGUUGGGCCUGGUUAGUACUUGGAUGGGAGAUCACCUAGGAAGACCAGGUGCUGUAGGCA